AAAAUUGUUAUCCGUUGGAAGUCAGUUGAUGUACUGACCAAAUAAAUCGGACGCGUAUCGAAUGCAUAACUGACACACACCGGAUAUGCAACGUACGAGAAACGGAAACGUACAGGACAGAACGGAUGCCGAACGUACGUCCAACGGACGAGUACCGCAUAAAACUGACACAUAACGGAAGCGUACCGAAUAAAACAGAUGAACAAGAUAUACAGAAAAAUUAAAGGC
rnacentral:lncRNA from 1 species